GAGAGAGAGAGAGAGAGAGAGAUGAGGAGAGAGGUGGAGAGAGAGAUGAGGAGAGAGGUGGAGAGAGAGAUGAGGAGAGAGGUGGAAGAGAAGAGAGAGAGAUGAGGAGAGAGGUGGAGAGAGAGAUGAGGAGAGAGGUGGAGAGAGAGAUGAGGAGAGAGGUGGAGAGAGAGAUGAGGAGAGAGGUGGAGAGAGAGAUGAGGAGAAAGGUGGAGAGAGAGAUGAGGAGAGAGGUGGAGAGAGAGAUGAGGAGAGAGGUGGAGAGAGAGAUGAGGAGAGAGGUGGAGAGAGAGAUGAGGAGAGAGGUGGAGAGAGAGAGAGAGAGA